CCCCUCUCAGCAUGGCACCUGAAGAGUUUCCAGUAUUCUACCAGUCUCGGCUAUGGGAGGGAUAGUCAAGCAGAGGCCUGUCCAUUCCAUUCCUAGCUUGGGCAGUGGCUAGCGAGUGGAAGGCCAUCUGCUCCGAGU